rnacentral:lncRNA from 1 species
CCGGGAUCGGGAUCGGGAUCGGGCCGGGCUCCAGGGCGGCGCGCGAGGGCGGCGCGGCCAGCGAGGCGCAGGCGGGGCUGCGCACGCGCGCGGUGCCCAAGUCCAUCCAGGAGAUCAUCGCCUCGGUGCAGUCCGAGGACCAGCUGGCCUCCGACCAGAUCAUCAGAGAGCUCAUAGAGAGCGUCCUGGGCCCCGACUACGACGUUAGGAUGGAAGAUAUAGCUUUGAUGGGAAAAACAUAUGUCAAAACACAUGAUGUGCAAGCAGAAACACUGACGAUGGAAGAAGAGCGUGUCUCACAGAUGAAUAUCGAGGAACCUUAUAUGAGUAUGUCUGAGGAGCUUCCUGAUGAAGGCUCAAGUAUUGUUCAAACUGAACAGGAGGAUGCAUCGGAUCGACCAUCUUUAGACACAGAAGACAUAGCAUUUAAAUAUCAAGAAUCAUUGGAAAUGCACCCAACAGAGGAAACAACUAAACGUAUGGAAGAUGGGCAGCUCAAAAGAGACUCUAAAGUACUUAAGCGGGUAUCCAUAAAGGUGCAAUCAUCAGAAUUCUUGCAAAUCACAGGAAAAGAAGUUAAGCGAACACGACGAAGUAAAUCAGAAUUCAUACCACUGAGACGAAAAAAGUCUUUAAAAUCCCAAGUAGAUCAAAAACUACUUAAAAAAAUCCCACAGGCCCAUUCCCCUCCUCACCUUCACCAUUUGUGCACCACCACUCCAGCCCAGCAGUUGCCAGUUGACUUGCAUCUGGCCUCUCGCAUGUGCCAUACUGCUGACAAGAAAGGCCACAGCACCCUGCUUGGAGUCUUUGGACCAUCUUUCCUAGAUGUUCACUUUGUAGAAGCACAAAGAGAUAGGUAAGAAUUCUUUGGUAACUUUGUUUUAAACUAGAUUGCAACUGUCAACAA